rnacentral:rRNA from 1 species
UACGGGGGGGGCAAGCGUUGUUCGGAAUUACUGGGCGUAAAGGGCGCGUAGGCGGCCUGCUAAGUCGGACGUGAAAUCCCUCAGCUUAACUGGGGAACUGCGUCUGAUACUGGCGAGCUUGAGUGCAGGAGAGGAACGCGGAAUUCCAGGUGUAGCGGUGAAAUGCGUUGAUAUCCAGCGGAACUCCGGUGGCGAAGGCGGCUCGCUGGACCUUCACUGACGCUGAGGCGCGAAAGCCAGGGGAGCGAACGGG